UACGUAGGUGGCAAGCGUUAUCCGGAAUUAUUGGGCGUAAAGGGUUCGCAGGUGGUCUGUUAAGUCAGAUGUGAAAGGCAGUGGCUCAACCAUUGCAAGCAUUUGAAACUGGCAGACUUGAGUACAGGAGAGGAAAGCGGAAUUCCUAGUGUAGCGGUGAAAUGCGUAGAUAUUAGGAGGAACACCAGUUGCGAAGGCGGCUCUCUGGACUGUAACUGACACUGAGGCACGAAAGCGUGGGGAGCAAACAGGAUUAGA
rnacentral:rRNA from 1 species